UACGUAGGGUGCGAGCGUUAAUCGGAAUUACUGGGCGUAAAGCGUGCGCAGGCGGUUUUGUAAGCCAGAUGUGAAAUCCCCGGGCUUAACCUGGGAAUGGCAUUUGGGACUGCAAGGCUGGAGUGUGGCAGAGGAGACUGGAAUUCCUGGUGUAGCAGUGAAAUGCGUAGAUAUCGGGAGGAACAUCAGUGGCGAAGGCGGCUGCCUGGCCCAAUACUGACACUCAGGUGCGACAGCGUGGGGAGCAAACAGG
rnacentral:rRNA from 1 species